rnacentral:rRNA from 1 species
GGGGGGUGCUUACCAUGCAGUCGAACGGUGAACACGGAGCUUGCUCUGUGGGAUCAGUGGCGAACGGGUGAGUAACACGUGAGCAACCUGCCCCUGACUCUGGGAUAAGCGCUGGAAACGGCGUCUAAUACUGGAUAUGUGACGUGACCGCAUGGUCUGCGUUUGGAAAGAUUUUUCGGUUGGGGAUGGGCUCGCGGCCUAUCAGCUUGUUGGUGAGGUAAUGGCUCACCAAGGCGUCGACGGGUAGCCGGCCUGAGAGGGUGACCGGCCACACUGGGACUGAGACACGGCCCAGACUCCUACGGGAGGCAGCAGUGGGGAAUAUUGCACAAUGGGCGAAAGCCUGAUGCAGCAACGCCGCGUGAGGGAUGACGGCCUUCGGGUUGUAAACCUCUUUUAGCAGGGAAGAAGCGAAAGUGACGGUACCUGCAGAAAAAGCGCCGGCUAACUACGUGCCAGCAGCCGCGGUAAUACGUAGGACGCAAGCGUUAUCCGGAAUUAUUGGGCGUAAAGAGCUCGUAGGCGGUUUGUCGCGUCUGCUGUGAAAUCCCGAGGCUCAACCUCGGGCCUGCAGUGGGUACGGGCAGACUAGAGUGCGGUAGGGGAGAUUGGAAUUCCUGGUGUAGCGGUGGAAUGCGCAGAUAUCAGGAGGAACACCGAUGGCGAAGGCAGAUCUCUGGGCCGUAACUGACGCUGAGGAGCGAAAGGGUGGGGAGCAAACAGGCUUAGAUACCCUGGUAGUCCACCCCGUAAACGUUGGGAACUAGUUGUGGGGUCCAUUCCACGGAUUCCGUGACGCAGCUAACGCAUUAAGUUCCCCGCCUGGGGAGUACGGCCGCAAGGCUAAAACUCAAAGGAAUUGACGGGGACCCGCACAAGCGGCGGAGCAUGCGGAUUAAUUCGAUGCAACGCGAAGAACCUUACCAAGGCUUGACAUAUACG